rnacentral:rRNA from 1 species
UACGUAGGGAGCAAGCGUUGUCCGGAAUCAUUGGGCGUAAAGCGCGCGUAGGUGGCCAUGUAAGUCCGCUGUGAAAGUCAAAGGCUCAACCUUUGAAAGCCGGUGGAUACUGCAUGGCUAGAGUACGGAAGAGGCGAGUGGAAUUCCCGGUGUAGUGGUGGAAUGCGUAGAGAUCGGGAGGAACACCAGUGGCGAAGGCGGCCACCUGGACCAGCAUUGACACUCAAGCACGAAAGCGUGGGGAGCAAACAGG